rnacentral:rRNA from 1 species
GAUUAACGCUGGCGGCGUGCAUAACACAUGCAAGUCGAACGAUGAAACUUAAAUGAUUUCUUCGGAAUGAACUUAAGUGGAUUAGUGGCGGACGGGUGAGUAACGCGUGAGUAACCUGCCUUACACAAGGGGAUAGCCGUUGGAAACGACGAAUAAUACCCUAUGAAACUAUCACUUCGCAUGAAGCGAUAGUCAAAGUGUUGGCGGUGUAAGAUGGACUUGCGUCUGAUUAGCUAGUUGGUGAGAAAAAAGCCCACCAAGGCAACGAUCAGUAGCCGGCUUGAGAGAGUGUACGGCCACAUUGGGACUGAGGCACGGCCCAGACUCCUACGGGAGGCAGCAGUGGGGAAUUUUGCACAAUGGGGGAAACCCUGAUGCAGCGACGCCGCGUGAUUUAGAAGGCCUUCGGGUUGUAAAAAUCUUUUGUAUAGGAAGAAAAUGACAGUACUAUACGAAUAAGGUCCGGCUAAUUACGUG